rnacentral:rRNA from 1 species
GACAGAGGCCUCAAGCGUUAGGCGGAAUUACUGGGCGUAAAGCGUGCGCAGGCGGUGAUGUAAGACAGUUGUGAAAUCCCCGGGCUCAACCUGGGAACUGCAUCUGUGACUGCAUCGCUGGAGUGCGGGCAGAGGGGGAUGGAAUUCCGCGUGUAGCAGUGAAAUGCGUAGAUAUGCGGAGGAACACCGAUGGCGAAGGCAAUCCCCUGGGCCUGCACUGACGCUCGAUGCACGAAAGCGUGGGGAGCAAACAGG